CCGCCGGCGACCGGCGCACGGGUGAGUAACACGUAUGCAACCUGGCCGUGACAGAUGGAUAACCGGGAGAAAUCCCGCCUAAUACAACAUAAUGCCGGGAGGGGACAUCCCCUGCCGGCCAAAGGGGGCGACCCCGGUCACGGAUGGGCAUGCGGCGCAUUAGGUGGUUGGUGGGGCAACGGCCCACCAAGCCGACGAUGCGUAGGGGUUCUGAGAGGAAGGUCCCCCACAUUGGAACUGAGACACGGUCCAAACUCCUACGGGAGGCAGCAG
rnacentral:rRNA from 1 species